rnacentral:rRNA from 1 species
CACGUAGGGUGCGAGCGUUGUCCGGAAUUAUUGGGCGUAAAGAGCUCGUAGGCGGUGUGUCGCGUCGGCCGUGAAAACCUGCAGCUUAACUGUGGGCUUGCGGUCGAUACGGGCAUCACUGGAGUUCGGCAGGGGAGACUGGAAUUCCUGGUGUAGCGGUGAAAUGCGCAGAUAUCAGGAGGAACACCGGUGGCGAAGGCGGUUCUCUGGGCAUGACCUGACGCUGAGGAGCGAAAGCGUGGGGAGCGAACAGG